rnacentral:rRNA from 1 species
AUUGAACGCUGGCGGCAGGCUUAACACAUGCAAGUCGAACGAGUGGCGGACGGGUGAGUAAUGCUUGGGAAUCUAGCUUAUGGAGGGGGAUAACUACGGGAAACUGUAGCUAAUACCGCGUACCAUAGGAUGAGCCCAAGUGGGAUUAGGUAGUUGGUGGGGUAAAGGCUCACCAAGCCGACGAUCUCUAGCUGGUCUGGGAGGAUGACCAGGCCCACCGGGACUGAGACACGGCCCAGACUCCUACGGGAGGCAGGCGGGGGGAAUUUUGGACAAUGGGCGAAAGCUGAUCCAGCAAAGGCCCAGGAGUGAUGGCGGCCUUCGGGUUGUAAAGCUCUGUUAAUCGGGAGACGGUACCGGAAGAGAAAGCCACGGCUAACUACGUGCCAGCAGCCGCGGUAAUUC